rnacentral:rRNA from 1 species
GAACGCUGGCGGCGUGCCUAAUACAUGCAAGUCGAACGGUCUUUCUAUGGAAGCUUGCUUCCACUGAGAAGAUAGUGGCGAACGGGUGAGUAACACGUGGGUAACCUGCCCAUAAGAGGGGGGAUAACAUCCGGAAACGGGUGCUAAUACCGCAUAGUUUUCUUGAUCGCAUGAUUGAGAAAGGAAAGACGGCCUUUGUGCUGUCGCUUAUGGAUGGACCCGCGGCGUAUUAGUUAGUUGGUGAGGUAACGGCUCACCAAGACGAUGAUACGUAGCCGACCUGAGAGGGUGAUCGGCCACAUUGGGACUGAGACACGGCCCAAACUCCUACGGGAGGCAGCAGUAGGGAAUCUUCCGCAAUGGACGAAAGUCUGACGGAGCAACGCCGCGUGAGUGAAGAAAGGUUUUCGGAUCGUAAAACUCUGUUGUCAGAGAAGAACAAGUUGGAGAGUAACUGCUCCAGCCUUGACGGUAUCUGACCAGAAAGCCACGGCUAACUACGUGCCAGCAGCCGC